GCUCACUUCGGCAGCACAUGCACUAAAAUCAGAAGGAUACAGAGACCACAGCCCCUGCACAAGGAAGGCAUGCAAACUCAUUAAAUGUUCCUUUA